GUGGGGAAUAUUGGACAAUGGGGGGAACCCUGAUCCAGCCAUGCCGCGUGUGUGAAGAAGGCCUUUUGGUUGUAAAGCACUUUAAGCGAGGAGGAGGCUACCGAGAUUAAUACUCUUGGAUAGUGGACGUUACUCGCAGAAUAAGCUCCGGCUAACUCUGUGCCAGCAGCCGCGGUAAUACAGAGGGUGCAAGCGUUAAUCGGAUUUACUGGGCGUAAAGCGCGCGUAGGUGGCCAAUUAAGUCAAAUGUGAAAUCCCCGAGCUUAACUUGGGAAUUGCAUUCGAUACUGGUUGGCUAGAGUAUGGGAGAGGAUGGUAGAAUUCCAGGUGUAGCGGUGAAAUGCGUAGAGAUCUGGAGGAAUACCGAUGGCGAAGGCAGCCAUCUGGCCUAAUACUGACACUGAGGUGCGAAAGCAUGGGGAGCAAACAGGAUUAGAAACCCGGGUAGUCC
rnacentral:rRNA from 1 species